rnacentral:lncRNA from 1 species
AUGUUUAUCUCCCAGGGACAAAUCACAAAUGAAACUGUGACCUAUAGAACUGAGGAAAACCUGUGCUUGGAUAAAUGGAUUACCUUUAUCUCUGAAGAGAGUUCUGUUUCUAACAACAUGGUAACUGUAUUGUCUGCUUUGACCCUCAGUACCCUUUGCCUCAAGUUCCGUUGGAUUCACCUCAUAAUUCUUGUAAACAACAAAGCAGAACCCACAGGUCUGAAGCCUGCCAGAAGAGAAAAGGUUGUUGUCGCUCUACGAAUAGUGCUGGAUUUGCAAAGGUUGUUUAAAUUUUACCAACAGGAUUUAUUUCUGAGACUGAAAAAAGAGCAACCCAUCCUCAACACCCCCAAUCCAACUUUGCCUUUACAUUGCACCAACUGUCACUGGCAAAACAAGACCUGGAAUCUAUAUUCAAAAUAUCUUUACUUACUUGGAAGUGAAUGA